AGACACCCUUCUGGGGCAAGACUUGCUUCAGUGGGGCUUUGGUGCUCACUGAGUCUUCCCACUGAGUGUGUCCCU
rnacentral:pre_miRNA from 1 species